rnacentral:lncRNA from 1 species
GUAAAAGUUUCCUCUUGGUUGCCCGAACGGGCAAGUUGCUUUGCCGCACAAAGCUGGCCAGCUUUCAGUUUAUAUUAUUAUUGUCGGAUAGAUUUUUUGCCAAAUAAAAAUAUGAUUACUCGGUUUUGACCUGGAUUCUCAUUUACACAAAUAUUCACAACGAAACAAUGAACUCUGUCACUGAUUUAAUAAAAUAUCUUUUAUAUCCAUCGAUUUCGAUUCGAGUAAAAGCCAUUUUCGUAAUUUUCAUGCAUGUGGUUUUUCAAAUGUGCGCCCAC